rnacentral:rRNA from 1 species
ACCGUGAACUUGUUUGAAAAUAACACUGAAGAUAAGGAGGAAGCAAGCAAUUGCGACUUUCUGUCUUGUAUCUUAUUAUCAACUUAUAAACCACUUGUAACCAUUUGUACUAAACAAAACUAAGAAAGUGUAGUCUGUGUAUGUUUAUUCAUAUGCCUUCUUCGCUUUUCGUAUUUACGAAAUGUAAAAACAAAUCUUAGCAACGGAUAUCUUGGUUCUCGUAACGAUGAAGAACGCAGCGAAAUGCGAUACGUAAUGCGAAUUGCAGAAUUCAGUGAAUCAUCAAAUCUUUGAACGCAAAUUGCGCUUACUGGUUAGUCCGGUAAGCACGCCUCUCUCAGUAUCGGUUCUAUCCUAUCUCGACUGCGUGUCGGAGAAUGAGCUGUCACUUGUCGAACCAAGUGUCGCUUUAAAGGUAGAGAGUUCUGACAUAUCUAAGUUUCAGUCCUUCCCUUUUAAUCGGGGGAAUAGUUAUUGAGCCAUAGGGCUUUGCUAACUGAUGCGAUCUGACUUUGAUUCAUGUGGAUAAGUGCUUCUUGUACUCGUAAACAUUGAAUUUGAAGUCUAAUCAUUAUCAAGGCAUAGUAUCCGACUCAGUAGUGAAAGCUAAAACUCUAGGGUUCAGAACGCCGGAGAUAAACGUAAAAGGAGUCUUAACAAACUCUUUUUCUCAAUCUAGAUCUGAGAUGAAGCGAGAAUACCCGCCGAAUUUAAGCAUAUUAUUAAGCGGAGGAAAAGAAACUAACUAGGAUGCCCCUAGUAACGGCGAGUGAAGCGGGCAAAGCUCAACUUGAAAAUCGGUGUUCCUAGC